GAAAUAGACAUGGGAUAAGCAAAGCAGACAGAUAGCUCUUCAUGUGGCCUCUUUCUUUUGAACUAUAUCGAAUACUGGACAGGGGAUGAACUGUCUGACAGUUUUACCCAGGAUGACAUGUCACACUUUAG